rnacentral:rRNA from 1 species
AACGAACGCUGGCGGCAGGCCUAACACAUGCAAGUCGAGCGAGGACUUCGGUCCUAGCGGCGGACGGGUGAGUAACGCGUGGGAACGUGCCCUUUGCUUCGGAAUAGCCCUGGGAAACUGGGAGUAAUACCGGAUGAGCCCUUUGGGGGAAAGAUUUAUCGGCGAAGGAUCGGCCCGCGUUGGAUUAGGUAGUUGGUGGGGUAAUGGCCUACCAAGCCGACGAUCCAUAGCUGGUUUGAGAGGAUGAUCAGCCACACUGGGACUGAGACACGGCCCAGACUCCUACGGGAGGCAGCAGUGGGGAAUCUUAGACAAUGGGGGAAACCCUGAUCUAGCCAUGCCGCGUGAGCGAUGAAGGCCUUAGGGUUGUAAAGCCCUUUCAGCUGGGAAGAUAAUGACGGUACCAGCAGAAGAAGCCCCGGCUAACUCCGUG